rnacentral:rRNA from 1 species
AUUGAACGCUGGCGGCAUGCCUUACACAUGCAAGUCGAACGGCAGCACGGGAGCAAUCCUGGUGGCGAGUGGCGAACGGGUGAGUAAUAUAUCGGAACGUGCCCGGUCGUGGGGAUAACGUAGCGAAAGCUACGCUAAUACCGCAUACGAUCUACGGAUGAAAGCGGGGGAUCGCAAGACCUCGCGCGAUUGGAGCGGCCGAUAUCAGAUUAGGUAGUUGGUGAGGUAAAGGCUCACCAAGCCGACGAUCUGUAGCUGGUCUGAGAGGACGACCAGCCACACUGGGACUGAGACACGGCCCAGACUCCUACGGGAGGCAGCAGUGGGAAUUUUGGACAAUGGGCGGCAAGCCUGAUCCAGCAAUGCCGCGUGCAGGAUGAAGGCCUCGGUUGUAA